rnacentral:piRNA from 1 species
UGGCCCAUUGCCCUUGUCCACUUAACAUG